rnacentral:lncRNA from 1 species
CCAUUUGUGUAUCUUCUUUAGAGAAAUGUUUAGUCAAAUCCUUUGCCCAUUUUUUAAUCAGGUUGGGUUUUUGGUUGUGGUUUAGUUAUAUAUUCUGGAUAGUAACUCCUUAUCAGAAAUAUAAUUUGCAAAUAUUUUUUCCCAUUCUGUGUGUUAUCGUUUUACUCUAUUGGUUGUGUCCUUUCAUGCACAGAAGUUUUACAUUUUGAUGAAGGUCAAUUUAUUUACAUUUUCCUCGAAGGACUUACCAGCAGUGAAUGGGAGAACCUCUUCCCCAGGGUCCUGACCCACCCAACCAUAAACACACAAUAAGGAAGUAAGGGGGAUGGGGGAGGGAUAUUAAUGUUUUAAUUUGUUCUUUUGUUUAUAAGUA